CUAUUUUACUUGAAUUAUCGCCUUGGUUUCAGUUACUUGUCCAUGCUAAGAAAAGCUGCAAGGUAAAAUAUUGCAGUUGACCUUACUAAUCUCUAUGACCAUUUCUUUGUGUCCACCAGUGAAUGUAAAGUAAAGGUAACUGCAACUUGGUUACCAUACUUUUAUCGAGAUUAUUGGCCUGGUGUUGCAGAGGUGUAUCAACUACAACAAGAAGAAAGGCAUUCUGGCCAUGCAUCAAAGGAUCUACGGUUAAUGAACAAACUCAGUGGAAAAUAUUUCGCUUGAAGUUACGCUUCAUCAUGGUGCACAUACAGCAUGCCUGCAUGCAUUGCUGCGGUUGCAUUCUGAUGGUUGCUGGAAAUCCUUGGGUUUGCAAACAAUGCGAAAAUUUUCAGCUGUCUGACAAGGAAUUAAAACAGCUGCUGAACUGAGGAGGGAACAAAACCUAACAGUGCCUGUCAAACAUCACACAUUGCAGCACAUUUAAUUAUUGGGGUGCUGGUGAUGAUGGCCACAAUCACAUCAGAGAUGCAAAGUCUCCCAAGAGAUGCAAAGUCUCCCAACACAAACUUUGGUUAAAGUCUGGUAAGAAAGAAACAAGGUCCUUCUGAUAUGCCAAUGAUAUGCAAUUAUGCGCGGAUCAGAUUCAAUCUAUGUGCCAAAGUAUGUGUGCUGGGUCAGAACCUCGAAUCUGAUUCUUCAUCUGAUCAAGCACUGAGCCAAAGAAAGUGAGUUAUCACGCUAUUGCUGCUGGCCAAGUCCAUGUUCCACUUUCUAUGAGUGCUGAGACUGUAGCAUCCCUGUGAUCCAUGUGAUCACGGCAGCAGUGGCAAGACAUUCCUAAGGUUGAGACUUUUGCUUGAGGACAAUAUAAGGGAGUCAAUCUUUUGGAGAAGUAUGGCCUAAGCCCUGGUACAUUGAAGGGAGAACAACACAAGGAAAUAGGGGGAUGAAAAUGUUGGCAAAAUCUUCGUUAGUGAGUUUGUGGUUUCUAUGUUUGGUAGCUUACAUUUAAGCAUGCCAACUAGCAAUUUUAGAUAUUAUUGGCUUUUACUUGGUGGGGAAUUUUCUUUUGCCAUGAAUUUUUGAGUUGAACCUUGUGGAUACACUCCUUGACCUAGAGAAUUUGAUCACUUCAGCUCUAAAAAAGGUCUUGUCAUCUGGGUAUCUAUUAUGCAUUUGUGCUGCUGACAAAGAAUGCAUUAAUUUUCUCUGUGAUUCUGUAGACUUUGGGAGCAUGGAUGACAUUUCUGAGUAGAGCUUUUGGUUUGCAGUCCAUCCAAAAUUGAGUCUUAGGUGGCUCCUUCCAGCCUGGAGAGUUCAAGGGAUGAAGGUGGAUUCCUACUUGGAAGUCUCUUCCAAACAGUGAUAAGUCAGUAUUGGGAGUUCUCGAAAAAGUGACUUGCCUUGUUUCUCAUAAUUGGAAUGACGUCUGAAAAAUAGAUGCCUCUUGUGGAACAUAAUAAGACAUGACAGGGAAUGAAAACAGUUGCUGAACUGAGGAGGGUAAUCUUCCAAUGCCGAUCAACACGGAUUCACUUUACACGGUGAGAACAUGGAUUCACUUUACACGGUGAGAACAUCCUAUUAUAGCUCCCUUUCAUUCAUCCUAUUGUAGCUCUUUUUCAUUCGUACUCCAACCUCAAGAAAGAAACAGAAUAAACAAAUUGAUUUUUCAUUUAUUUGUGUUCAUUUCUAACCAUUCGUUUCUUUUUGCACACAGUCUAUUGACAAGAAGCCAACGAAGUUCAAUCCAUUGGUCACAAUACUUAAAUUUAUGUGAUGCGCUUUUCAUUGAUAAUUUUUUUAUUGGUGAUUUUAUAAUGUUUAUUCUUUAAUAUGCUUUUUAUUUGUGUGAACAUUAAAUGAAACACAUAUUGCUUCAACUUCUAACUUAACUCAAUCACUUAA